rnacentral:misc_RNA from 1 species
AAAGUCGUAACAAGGUUUCCGUAGGUGAACCUGCGGAAGGAUCAUUAACACUUUUUGAAAGAUUUCAUUAAAUGAAAUUCUUACUUUUACCCACAUUUUUGGAUGAAUUAUUUCUUUUUUAUUCUUUUUUAAAAUUUUAUACCCAAAUACCAUAUUAUUUCUAACAUUUAUACACAAAAAGUUUAAGAAAAACAUAAAAAACAACUCUUAACAACGGAUAUCUAGGCUCUC